rnacentral:lncRNA from 1 species
AAAAGAAAGAUCUAAUUAACAAAAGCAAAUAAGACUACAAACUGAUGCAGCAGCAGCAUAAUCAUAUCCACCAUGAAUAAGUCAACAUAGCAUUCUGAAAAGAUGCUUAAUGCCUAUGACUAAGUUAUAUGCUCACACGAACCAACUCUCCUCAAUUACAUGCAAGUGAUGCUAAUGCAUUCCUCUGACUUAAGAUAUAAUGGAUGCAUGCUAUGAACACUAUUAGUAUGUUCUUCUUUUAUCAGAGCAUAGAGAACAGAGUACAUCCCCUUCCAGCUACUGGUAAGUAAUAGCUGCUGGUGACCCGUUUGACCCAGGGUAGCCGCCGUCCUUCCUUUUCCCAAACGGGUUCUUUGAAUAUGUUUUCUGAGGAUAUUGUAUCCGCAUGCCAACAGAACCAGAACUAGGGAUAACAGCACCCUGCAAGCUAUGGUGCACGUUUGUUGCACUAUUC